GAUAACUUCAAACGAGAAGUGCUCAGAGAGCCUCAAGAAUGAUGGGGAUGCUCUUCUCCAGACCCUGCAGAGCCUGGCCCACACUGCCAGCUCUCACGCUGAUGUUGCUGUGGCUUCCUUGGCAUUUGAAAUUCUGAGGCUGGUGGGACAUGGGAGUAUCAAGACUGCCUGAAACACACAAGUUGUGUGUGAUGCUGAGCACCUCAGUCCUGCAGGAACACCCCCAGGUGAGCAGAGCAGCCCCAACUAACACAGCAAGCUCAGGUGUGACUGUGUGCAGGUUGUUCUUUAAACCAUUGUAUAGAUGAAUUCUUGGUUACUGCUUUACUUUGUUGGUGUUAUGUGAUGUAGCACAAGUAUUUGACAGCCGGUUUCAAGUGUUAAUUAAAUACGUGGUUUCACAAUACA